rnacentral:lncRNA from 1 species
CAGGAUAUUGGAUCUGUCACCAUAACUCUGGUAACUCUUGAAAACAAUGCUGAUUCUGGAUUUAAUGGCCUUUACUUCCGAUGCAAGUUGGUAUCGAGCCUUCAUGUGUUUAAUAUAGCAAGUGAUCUUAUGUAAGGUACUGUAGAAUUUGUCCCCAUGAUCAUGUCCUAACCGAAGCAUAAACUCAUCGAGCGUAUCUUCAAUUUCAUAAACAACAUCUCUCAAUUGCUUGACCCAUUUGUUAACUUCAGGAUUGCUAGCUUCAAUCGCAUCAGCAGUCCUCAGGAAAGAUUGCAUUUGCUCCAAUUCACUUCUGAUGUGGUCUAGCUCUCCACGAACGCCUCUCAACACCUCAACCUCUUCAUGGAGUAAAGAUGCAAGCUUCUCGAUCAGAAAAGUAACUGCACUCUCAGCCAUUUUCCUUUACCUUACACUGAUAUCUUUCAGAAAUUUUGAAAGAAAAAAGUUGAAUUGCAAGUUUUGUGGUGGCUUGUGAAACUUCGAAUCCAACUUAUAUGAGAAUGCUUCAGUUGAUGAUAGAUUUCAAUUAAAGUCAAUCAUCUGUAGAGAUGACAUUAACCAAUAAAUUAUUCUUAGUUGGAGCCUCUAUAUAAUUAAUUAUUGUUUAACAGUUUGGUGAAUUACUCUACCAAUUGUAAUUGACCAAAUUGUUUGCUGACUUGGUCUGAGGUUUGGGAGUCUUUCCUUGUCUCAUGUCAACUUUAAGCACAUUGAUUCACAUUAUAUAAUAAUCAAAAGAAAUCUCAUUUUUUACCUCUGUAAUUUUGCUUAAAAUUAAGUUUUUUUUUUCUAAAUUUUCUUUUUUAGCAAAUUAGCCAAUUUUUGGCUAAAAAAAAUUAAAAUAAUAAUUUUUCAGGUUUUUAUAUUUAUAACUUUUGGUAUUAUAAAAAUUAUUUAAUAAUAAAUAAUAGUUAUUUUUUAUUGUAAAUUUAUGUUUACAAUAAUAAAAUAAAAAUUAAUAUUAAAAUUUUGAAAUUUUUUUAUUAUAUUUAUUUAUUUACAAAUUUACAAAAAUGAGCUAAUUUGAUCCUUAAAUCAAAAUUUAUCAAUAGAUUAGAAUAAAAAAACUUGUGGGAAAAGUUGUACACAAAAAAAUAAUUUAAUUCCUAUAGUAAUCAACUGCCUCUUAUGAAUGGCUGGAAAUUUUAUUUUACUAUUUUUUUUUCUAGGCAGAACUGGUUUAAGCUAUGAUGCAUAUUUAUACAAAGGGAAGAAUCAGCGAAAGGACUUCAUUCAUACAACA